CCCUUAGACACUCUAGGCGGCACGCGCGCUACAAUGGGUGGAAGAACGUGUUACUGCCUCCGAAAGGAGGGGUGAAUCACGAAUUCUUGCCCGUGAAUGGGAUAGUUUGUUGCAAUUUUCGGACUUGAACUAGGAAUCCCUUGUAAACAUGCUCAAGAAUAGCGUGUUGAAUACGUCCCUGCCGUUUGUACACACCGCCCGUCGUUUCUUCCGACUGAUACUCAUUGUGAGUUGCAAGGACCCUUUAUUGGGAAAUUGCUGCAAAUGCUUUGUAUUGGAGGAAGAAAAANUCGUANCA
rnacentral:rRNA from 1 species